CACUCUAGAGAGACUGCCAGGGAUAACCUGGAGGAAGGUGGGGAUGACGUCAAAUCAUCAUGCCCCUUAUGCUUAGGGCUACACACGUGCUACAAUGGGUAGUACAGAGGGUUGCCAAGCCGUAAGGCGGAGCUAAUCCCUUAAAGCUACUCUCAGUUCGGAUUGUAGGCUGAAACUCGCCUACAUGAAGCUGGAGUUACUAGUAAUCGCAGAUCAGAAUGCUGCGGUGAAUGCGUUCCCGGGUCUUGUACACACCGCCCGUCACACCACGGGAGUUGGAGACGCCCGAAGCCGAUUAUCUAACCUUUUGGAAGAAGUCGUCGAAGGGGGAAUUAAUAACUGGGGUGAAGUCGUAACAAGGUAGCCGUAUCGGAAGGUGCGGCUGGAUCACCUCCUUUCUAAGGAGA
rnacentral:rRNA from 1 species